rnacentral:misc_RNA from 1 species
AACGCACGAGACCUGCGGACCUGCGGAGGGAUCAUUACCGAGGAUGGGGGUAUGUGGGGCGGCGAGGCCGGAGGGCGAGGCCGAAAGGCGAUGCCGAAAGGCGAUGCCGAAAGGCGAUGCCAGCCACGUACACACUCGUGCUUGCUGGGGAGGCGUGGCUGGGAGUGGGGGAUUCUGGCGGCUCACGUGGCAGCACUGCCUGUGGGACACUGGAGUCUUCCUCUGCUCGCCACGCACACC